CUAGUAAUGUGUAAAUGAUGUAUACAGAUACCUGUUCAAUUCUGUUAAAUUAUGACGCUGGCCCUUUAAGAUUUCGGUGGGUGAGAUCUCAUUCGCGAGUCAGUCUCGUGAGAGUUAGAGCUGAAGUAGUGCGGUUAACAGAGUGUGUAUUGCAUCAUCAGUGCUUUGGAAAUAUACAACUAAUAUUAGGAUAAAACACCAAAAGGGUGAAAAAUAUUCAGUUGUAUUAGCCCAAUAUUGACUUGGUGAAAAGUGCAUCGAUGUGAUUGAGUUGUGAUGUAUGACAAUUGAUGACAAAUGAUCGUGAUCCAUGUGAAGUGUUUCUCCUCGUGUCAAAAACACGAUUUGUUGACUAAUCAUAAAGCAGGGGAGAAAGAAAAGUGCUUUAUAGGCCAUCUGUGAGAUCCAAAUUGUGUUCAUCAGUACAGAAGAGUCUAAAGUCCACUACCGUUGUUUUUUUUGUUAUCCUAAAAAAGCCACAUUUAUGUAUUUUUGCUUUGUUUUUGUGCUUUUGCAAAAUUCAUAGAUUUAACAGGGGAAGCUAAUUCCAGUUUUUUUUGUCUUUUACAUUUAUUUUUGUCCUGCUCUGGUUUCUAAAACAUUUUCAACCCCAAAAAGCCAAAGCUAUUGUUAAUGCUGUGUCCCUAUGGUCACAGUCGGAAAUAAAAGACCCUUAAUUUAAGUUUGCCUGUGUUUUGGACCUUUCAUUCUUUUGAAAGCAAGCGGUCAGCCGGCAACACUUUUUGGUACCAGGAGUGGGGUCUCCUUGUUAGCAUUUGGGGUUUUAUUUGGGUUUGUGGCAUACUUAUAUACAACGGUAGUGGUGAAGAGGAGUUUAGAGCCAUCACCAAGAGUGUCUACAACGAGUGGUGUGGCGUGUCUGGAGAGACGUUGAGGGAGCAAGGCAUUGGUGUUCUGAGGCAGGAGGGCGCUCACGCUGUCAUAAAGGUUGUGCGAUCUGAGCCAGAGACUGCAUCGGAACAUGGACCAGGACGAGGACCAAAGUGUGCUCAACGCUCAAGCCGGACCUAGCCACAAUGUGGAUGGGGCCGAGUCUGUGGACUAUGGUGAUGCAGGUAACCCGGUGGCACAGCUCCAGUCACAGAUUUUGGAGCUGGGUCAAAAACAUGACCAAGUACUGUCUGCUCUUUCCAACAUGAGUAAUGCUAAUACCAGAUCUUAUGUAUACAUUCC
ensembl:lncRNA